CUGAGCAGUGUCAUCGCUGAAGGACAGUUAAAAGUGGACUCUUCCCUCCUCACUGUCUUGUUCAUUCAUUAUGUUGCCUGCCUGUCUCAGAGAGAAAUUGCUCCAUGCCUGGAAAGAGCCCUGGACCCCCUGUUCCUUCUGCAAGAGGCCAAGACAGGGGAGGAGGGUGUUCCG